UCGUGUAACGGUGUAUUAUGCUG
rnacentral:miRNA from 1 species